UACGGGGGGAGCAAGCGUUGUUCGGAUUUACUGGGCGUAAAGGGCGCGUAGGCGGCCACCGCAAGUCAGUUGUGAAAUCUCUGGGCUUAACCCAGAAAGGUCAACUGAUACUGCGGGGCUAGAGUGCAGAAGGGGCAACUGGAAUUCUCGGUGUAGCGGUGAAAUGCGUAGAGAUGUGGAGGAACACCGAUGGCGAAGGCAGCCCCCUGGGUCAAGAUUGACGCUCAUGCACGAAAGCGUGGGGAGCAAACAGG
rnacentral:rRNA from 1 species